AACCCAUGGUGAGGACACUUCCGCAAAAGAUCUUUAAAUCUCUCCCAAGUGUCAUAAAGUGACUCCAUAUAUUGUUGGAAAAAAUAUGUGAUAUCACUUCUCAUCUU